AUUGAACGCUGGCGGCAGGCCUAACACAUGCAAGUCGAACGAGUGGCGGACGGGUGAGUCAUGUCUGGGAAACUGCCCGAUGGAGGGGGAUAACUACUGGAAACGGUAGCUAAUACCGCAUACCAUCGGAUGUGCCCAGAUGGGAUUAGCUAGUAGGUGGGGUAACGGCUCACCUAGGCGACGAUCCCUAGAUGGUCUGAGCGGAUGACCAGCCACACUGUAACUGAGACACGGUCCAGACUCCUACGGGAGCCAGCAGUGGGGAAUAUUUCACAAUGGGCGCAAGCCUUAUGCAGCCAUGCCGCGUGUAUGAAGAAGGCCUUCGGGUUGUAAAGUACUUUCAGCGAGGAGUCGUUACUCGCAGAAGAAGCACCGGCUAACUCCGUGCCAGCAGCCGCGGUAAUAC
rnacentral:rRNA from 1 species